rnacentral:rRNA from 1 species
CAAUGGCGUAAACAAAGGGAAGCGACCACGUGAGUGUAAGCGAAUCCCAAAAAUAACGUCUCAGUUCGGAUUGUAGUCUGCAACUCGACUACAUGAAGCUGGAAUCGCUAGUAAUCGCGAAUCAGAAUGUCGCGGUGAAUACGUUCCCGGGUCUUGUACACACCGCCCGUCACACCAUGGGAGUCAGUAACGCCCGAAGCCGGUGACCCAACCAGUUCAGGAGGGAGCCGUCGAAGGUGGGACCGAUAACUGGGGUGAAGUCGUAACAAGGUACC